GGGCGGAUGGUUUAGUGGUAUAAUACUCCCUUAGCAAGAUUCCUUCUAAUGGAUUCAGAUUUGGGAGUGGUCCGGGGUUCGAUUCCCCGUUCGUCCA
rnacentral:tRNA from 2 species